UACGUAGGGGGCGAGCGUUGUCCGGAAUCAUUGGGCGUAAAGCGCGCGUAGGCGGCCCGGUAAGUCCGCUGUAAAAGUCAAAGGCUCAACCUUUGAAUGUCAGUGGAUACUGCCGGGCUAGAGUCCGGAAGAGGCGAGUGGAAUUCCUGGUGUAGCGGUGGAAUGCGCAGAUAUCAGGAAGAACACCAAUGGCGAAGGCAGCUCUCUGGGACGGUACUGACGCUGAGACGCGAAAAGCGUGGGGAGCGAACAGG
rnacentral:rRNA from 1 species